rnacentral:lncRNA from 1 species
GUUGUUUUUACUACUUGGCGUGCCUUUCCUGUUGUUACAUUCAAUUUUUGUAGGUGUCAGACGAGUGUGUGAUGGCGUGCGGCGGUGGUGGCGCGUGUGAGGAGGCUAGCGGCUGAAGACGGUUAGGGAGGCUACGGUUUUCUGACAUUGUUUAAGUUUUUGGGCUUAUCGGGCCACCUAGGGUUUUUUUUAUUUUGGGUUUGGGCUGUUUGGGCCUGUUGUAAAUGGACUGGGACUAUUUAUUUAUUUAUUUGGUUUGUUUUUUUUUUUGUUGGGCCCAGGCAAAAAUGGCCUAUUACAGAUGCCCUUCUUUGCUCAUUUUCAUGUAACAAGAAUGGAGCAAAGACUUUAAAAGGGCCAAUUUUGCCUGGUCGUGCCGAAUCUCGACUUUUUGGUGCUUCUUUUCUUCAAGUAGCCUUAUUCUAUC